rnacentral:rRNA from 1 species
UGGGGAAUAUUGGACAAUGGGCGAAAGCCUGAUCCAGCCAUGCCGCGUGUGUGAAGAAGGUCUUCGGAUUGUAAAGCACUUUAAGUUGGGAGGAAGGGCAGUAAGCGAAUACCUUGCUGUUUUGACGUUACCGACAGAAUAAGCACCGGCUAACUCUGUGCCAGCAGCCGCGGUAAUACAGAGGGUGCAAGCGUUAAUCGGAAUUACUGGGCGUAAAGCGCGCGUAGGUGGUUCGUUAAGUUGAAUGUGAAAGCCCCGGGCUCAACCUGGGAACUGCAUCAAUAACUUGCGAACUAGAGUAGGGCAGAGGGUGGUGGAAUUUCCUGUGUAGCGGUGAAAUGCGUAGAUAUAGGAAGGAACACCAGUGGCGAAGGCGACCACCUGGACUCAUACUGACUCUGAAGUGCGAAAGCGUGGGGAGCAAACGGG